GUAAAUUAAGAUAUAUCGGUGUGAAAUAAGAGUAUCUGGUUUUCACAACAGACAAAGCAUUAACAAAAUGCAGAAGCUCAAGAAAACAUCGUUGGAACGAUUUAUGAAAUAGAGCUGUGGGGUAAAUCGAAUCAAGUAAAUCUGGACACACACAACGAGACAACUAUUUGCUGGGCGUUUGAAACGAAUUGUGAAGUGUGGCUAUGACGUCGUCAGGAAUGUCUCAAGCCGCAACGACGUCACAAGCUGAAUCUGAACGAUUUACGCCUUCUAAAGAACCAUUUUAUAAGAAGCCAUGCAUCGUUGGAAGAUUUCAGUUUAAUGCGGUUAAUAGAGACGUGCCUUUCAUAAAAAUAAACUGGAUUAAAGAGGAGAUCAACAUUUGCGAAAAAGUGGCAGAAAGAGUUCUGAACAUGCUUCCAGAACUUCAAAAGAUAAAGCUUGUUCUAUCGAUUUAUGAUGGCGUGUUUAAUUAUAAAUAUGCUCGUGACAACUUUGUACGUGGUCUUAAGAGAAUAAUGCCAGGUAAGGAAAAAUACUUGAAUUCCAUGCAUCAACAUUAUCAUCAUCAUCAUCAUCAUCAUCAUCAUCAUCAUCAUCAUCAUCAUCAUCAUCAUCAUCAUCAUCAUCAUCAUCAUCAUCAUCAUCAUCAUCAUCAUCAUCAUCAUCAUCAUCAUCAUCAUCAUCAUCAUCAUCAUCAUCAUCAUCAUCAUCAUCAUCAUCAUCAUCA